UACGAAGGACCCGAGCGUUAUCCGGAUUUAUUGGGUUUAAAGGGUGCGUAGGCGGAUUAAUAAGUCAGUGGUGAAAGCCCAUCGCUUAACGAUGGAACUGUCAUUGAUACUGUUAGUCUUGAGUAUGGUUGAGGUGGGCGGAAUGUGUCAUGUAGCGGUGAAAUGCUUAGAUAUGACACAGAACACCAAUUGCGAAGGCAGCUCGCUAAACCAUAACUGACGCUGAGGCACGAAAGCGUGGGGAGCGAACAGG
rnacentral:rRNA from 1 species